rnacentral:snoRNA from 1 species
AGGUCAUUUCAAAGAGAGCUUGUUAGGCUAUGGCCACUUAAUCCUGCACCCAAAGACUGAAGUUCUCCCCAGGAUGACGUAGUCUCUUAAUAGUGCUGUUUUUCUAAGGAGAAAUAAAA